CCUACGGGAGGCAGCAGUGAGGAAUAUUGGUCAAUGGACGAGAGUCUGAACCAGCCAAGUAGCGUGAAGGAGGACUGCCCUAUGGGUUGUAAACUUCUUUUAUAUGGGAAUAAAAUGUUCCACGUGUGGGAGUUUGUAUGUACCAUAUGAAUAAGCAUCGGCUAACUCCGUGCCAGCAGCCGCGGUAAUACGGAGGAUCCGAGCGUUAUCCGGAUUUAUUGGGUUUAAAGGGAGCGUAGGUGGAUUGUUAAGUCAGUUGUGAAAGUUUGCGGCUCAACCGUAAAAUUGCAGUUGAAACUGGCAGUCUUGAGUACAGUAGAGGUGGGCGGAAUGCGUGGUGUAGCGGUGAAAUGCUUAGAUAUCACGAAGAACUCCGAUUGCGAAGGCAGCUCACUGGACUGCAACUGACGCUGAGGCUCGAAAGUGUGGGUAUCAAACAGGAUUAGAUACCCUAGUAGUC
rnacentral:rRNA from 1 species